ensembl:lncRNA
CCCACUCCAGUGUUCUCGCCUGGAGAAUCCCAGGGACGGGAGAGCCUGGUGGGCUGCCGUCUAUGGGGUCGCACAGAGUCAGACACAACUGAAGCAACUUAGCAGUAGCAGCAGCAGCAGCAGACUCUGGAGGGCAGGAGGAGCACGUGACCUCAGUCAAUCCAAUGGGAGUCGGUUUUGGAACGUAAGCCAUAAAGACUGGGAAAGUGGCUCUCCCUUGGUUGCCAUCCUUGCUGCAGCAUGGACAUGGUCAUGGUCAGCUAAGAAGGAAGCCCACACAGAAGGAAACAGUCAAGGGAAGGAGAGAAAAUCCGAUGCCAUCAUCAAGUCCCUCAUCUGGCUAUACCAAAGCCAAAUAAACAUCCCAAACCUCCCAAUUAU